rnacentral:rRNA from 1 species
AGCAGCCGCGGUAAUUCCAGCUCCAAUAGCGUAUAUUAAAGUUGUUGCAGUUAAAAAGCUCGUAGUUGAAUUUCGGGGUUAGUAGGUUGGUCAUGCCUCUGGUAUGUACUGGUCUCACUGAUUCCUCCUUCCUGAUGAACCGUAAUGCCAUUAAUUUGGUGUUGCGGGGAAUUUGGACUGUUACUUUGAAAAAUUAGAGUGUUUAAAGCAAGCUAACGCUUGAAUACAUUAGCAUGGAAUAAUGAAAUAGGACGUUCGAUCCUAUUUUGUUGGUUUCUAGGAUUGACGUAAUGAUUAAUAGGGAUAGUUGGGGGCAUUAGUAUUCAAUUGUCAGAGGUGAAAUUCUUGGAUUUAUUGAAGACUAACUACUGCGAAAGCAUUUGCCAAGGAUGUUUUCAUUAAUCAAGAACGAAAGUUAGGGGAUCGAAGACGAUCAGAUACCGUCGUAGUCUUAACCAUAAACUAUGCGACCUAGGGAUCGGAUGAUGUUAAUUUUUAAUGUACUC